GCGUAGGCGGUACUGUUAGCGAGCCUGCGGUGCGCAGCCCUCCCGCUGCCGCCGCCCCGGGCAGCCCGCGCCGGGCAGUCGCGACCGAGCGGCGAGUCGCAAUUGGCGUCUGUGGCUUAGGCGAGAGCAGAGCGUAUCGCGUGUGCAGUGGCAAAUGAACCAAAGUAAGAGGUUGCCAUCUCCACAGUGAUAUUGCAUCUAAACCCUGGCUACCAAAUCAAGCUUGCUGGUAUAGUGCUGAAUUUUGCCUCUGGUGAGCGUGAUCAGCCUGAGAGAAGUGGAAUCUUUUGGGAAAGGUGGGGAGCUCUCUGU
rnacentral:lncRNA from 1 species